rnacentral:rRNA from 1 species
CAGUAGCCGCGGGAAUACGUAGGUGGCAAGCGUUGUCCGGAAUUAUUGGGCGUAAAGGGCUCGCAGGCGGUUUCUUAAGUCUGAUGUGAAAGCCCCCGGCUCAACCGGGGAGGGUCAUUGGAAACUGGGAAACUUGAGUGCAGAAGAGGAGAGUGGAAUUCCACGUGUAGCGGUGAAAUGCGUAGAGAUGUGGAGGAACACCAGUGGCGAAGGCGACUCUCUGGUCUGUAACUGACGCUGAGGCGCGAAAGCGUGGGGAGCAAACAGGAUUAGAUACCCCAGUAGUCCCUGUCUCUUAUAC